AAAUCAUUUUAACUAAUGAAAUAUAUUAUCCGCGUUUUAUCCUCAUAUAUUUUAGAUAUUUGGCUUCCACUUUGCAUAUUCGUUUGUGAUUCAGAUUUCAUAUUUAUUGAGUUGUGUUUCGUGCUUCAAUAAGCAAUUUAAAUGCCACUUUAUUAUUAAUAAAGAUUUAUGACAAAAUAAAUUACCUCUUUGUGUUUCGUAAUAUUUUUAUUGUUUGAUAAAAUCAAAUUGCAAAAUCUUCAUAAGAAAUCAAAUGAAAAGUACAUUCAGAAUAUUAAUCAAAUCUCGAAGUUUGCUUCCCACGUAAAAGAUAUUGGAUUCCAAACAAAAUUACAUUUGGCACAACAAUCUGGAUUAUCAUUAUCUUCUAUUUCAGGAUGAAACUUGUUAUUUUCCAUCCAAACCAUAAACUUGUUGUUUUCUGUGUUCCUGGAAAUUUCUUUUGGUUUUCUGGAGAGCUGAAACAUAUAAAAAAACCAUAAUAAGAGAUAUAAAUAUAUAAUAAAAGUAAACAUAUAAGCCACAUACAUAAACACAUAGUCCCAGUAAGGAUUGCAAUGACUUUAAAAACCAGGAUAUGAAACACUUUCGCAUAUUUUGGUUUCCUUGUCUCUGAGCCUCAGGUUUCAUUUUGAUGAUAUUGGUGAGAUAUGUGAUGUUCUUGAGUUUGGUGUGAGGUGUGCUUAUAUAAGAUAUAGGAUCUGUUGAGAUUGACAUAUGAUGGUAUAUUAUGUGUCAUGAAGAAUCGAUAUAUUAUGUUGUAUCGAUAAAGGAUCUGUUGGCUUUAUGAUGGUAUAUUCUAUAAAAAUAUGCUAAUCAGGUAUUUAACAUGAAUAAUCGAAAACAAAAUCGUUAAAUAUGCUGUUAUAGAUGCUGUUAUACGAUGGCAUAAUAAGGGAUAAUAAGGCUUGUUAUAACAAAUAGAGUUAGACCAAAAUAUACAAAAGUAAAAAGUCCAAACAACUUGUAUAAGUAGAUUUAUGUAGACUGCUUCUCUUUUAAUAGAAUAGAUAUAACUCGAAACUGCAAGCUCACCCUAUAAAAAUGAAUUGGAAGUUAAAACAUAUAGGACUUUAAGAUAGGAUGACUUCCAUUUUUCUAUCAAUAUCAAAUGCUAGUGAGUAAUCUACACUACACCACAAUCUCAAACUACUCGAUAAUUUGAUCAAAAUGAAUAUUAUUCGGGAUAAAUAGUAUAAAUAUUUUAUUUUUAGGAUUGUUGAGUUUACUAAAAAUCUAUUUUGGAUAGACUAGACAACAAAUAUACGAUAAAACUAGAACUCGACCCGCACGGAUGUGCGGGUAUUAAUUUUUAUUUUAUUUUUAUAAAUUAUUUAAAGAUAUUUCUAAACACAUAAUUUUUUUGGAUAUUUUUAAGUUUCUAUAAUCUAUCUAGACCCGGAAUGAUCUGAGUCCGAACCCCGUCCAAAAAUUUAUCAUAUUCGAACAAAGUUUAAUUUUAAACCUAAAAAUCUGAUACCUAGAAAACCGAUAUGUAUCUGAAAAGGUACCUAAAUGCUCAUAUAAUGUAUGUAUUUAAUUAUGAUAUAUAUAUAAUUAAUUAUUUCCAAAGAUAUAUAUAUAUUAAAAUAGGAAAUGAGAAAUAAUAUUAAAAGUUAGAUUUAUUAAUUAUUGUUUCCAUGUUUGUUUUAGUUAGAAUUUGAUUUUGGGAAUGCAUUAAUUAAAAGGAAAAGACAAAGAAUCCUAAAAAGUAGAUUAAUUAAGAACUUCAGUAGCAUACCAUUGUAAAUAACUUGCAAAAUUAAAGGAUAAUUUAAAUUUGUAUUCCUCUUUUAAUAGAUUAGAUAUCCAGCCCGAGAGAAAUGUAGGACAACCUUUUUAAAACUUAUUGUACGUUUAGAAAAACAACCAACGAGAAAAAUUGUCUCCACCAAAUAUUUAUAUCAGACUAAAAGCUAAGUACUGAACACAAAGGUAAAGUAAUUAGGGAGUGUAUUGAACCAAGGGUUUUAGAAGCUUUUAAAGUGUUUAAUGUUAACGGGACUUAAGUGAGUUUUGAAGUUAUUUGGGUGAUUUAAUGAAAUUUUAAAAAUACAAAUAAAUUUUUUUAGGCCAUUUGAUAAGAUAUCUUGUAUAGAUUUUAAAGUUGUUUAGGUGAUCUAAAACAGUAAAUACUAGUUUUGGUCAAUACAUUUUUCUUUUUUUUAACGCUUUCAUUCAAACAAUGUAAAGGUCCGAAUCCAAGUGUUCCAAAACAAAUCAGAGGAGAAAAGCUCUUCGAACAAAAGACCAAAAAAGAAACAGAAAGAUACCAAUAGGCAACAUACGCAGAAAUAAUCACAGUCCGAGUUGAUAAUAAGUUAAUUCUUUUUUAAAAUUUUAAUUUUUUCUUUCUGAUGAGCAACGGUGUUUUCUUGUCUCUUACAGUAUAUAACUCCUAAGAGCCAACCACAAUUUUAUAAUGUUUUUUUUUUUGUAAAAGGCUUUCAUAUUAAAAUGCAUAAAUGGUACAAGUAUGAGUUUUCACUCAUAAGUUUGAGAAAGUUUGCAACAAGAGGAGGGUUUUAGCACAACCCGAGUGAAGGGUUCACAAAUGAAACCUAAUAGGAAAGAAAAAAAAAAGACCAAACUAGUGAAAAUGGUUUCCUCGGCUACGUCGACCUUUUUUACCCCUUCCUCUAACAUUUGUCCAUUCCAUUUCUUGAACCUUUUGUGUUGGUUUUAUUGAUCUUCCUCCUCUAGUUAAGUUAUAACUAGAGGUUUCUCCAACCACUUCUAAACCAGUUUCUUAUCCAUAAGCAAGAGGAGUUUCCGGCUCCAUGUGGAAAUGAUGAUGGUUGGGAGUGAGAGGCGAGAGAGGAUAAUUUUAUAAUGUUUUUUGAUUCAAUAGCACAUCAUCAUCAUACUUGGAAAAAAGAAGUAAUUAACUCAUAGUUUUGUUUCAAAAAACUACCAAUGAGAUGAAGGUAUCUCUAUCUAUUAAACAAAUAAAAAUAAUAGGGAAAAGUGGAAAACUAACCUCACUAGAGAAAGGCAUCACGACAAGAACAACCGUAGAAAGAACGAACGAAGAAUGAGAAUGGUGAAAGCAAUAAAUAAAUCAAGUAAAGGUCUUAUACUUGGAAGGUUUACUUGCCGACUCGAACUCUGGGAACCACUUGUCCAUAUCUGACUGGCUGCACUGCACCUUGUUCAGUGACUCUUCGAAAUCAAACAUCGCCAUUGGAUGUUUCGAGACCAUACAUGUUCUUGAUCUCAUCCCUCAGUUCCUUUCCUCGACGCUUCUAUAUGCACAUGUUUGUCAGAGCGUCUCCACUGUAUCCUUUUUUUGCUUCUCCUAGCCAAAGCCACACCCUCAGUGUCAUUGUACUGGCCACCUGAACCGAAUACGAUUGUAGAAAUGAAUCCAUUUUGUUAGAACCGAUAACAACUGAAACGACUGAUUAAUUAAGCUAAUUAACAUUAACCGUUCUCAAAUUGAUAUGGAUAAGUACCUUUUGGGCUUUUGAAUUGUGGUAGAGGAAAUGUAUACUUGUUUCUCUAGCCUUCUCCUACUAAUUAUGAAAUGAGUGUGGGCACGAUCAUUUGCAUACUCUUGAGUGUUGCAAAGAUAUUAGAUAAUCAAUCUCAUGUAGGCGUUGUAAUAUUAGAGUUCCACAUGGGGAACAUACAAGGUUAGACAAUAUAUAACUGAUGCGGCAAUCUUUCACUCUUGAUUUAAUUUUUAUACAUGAAUUAAAUCUGUUACUAACACCAUACACUCCUUUUUUUUUCCAAGGCCGGAUUUAGGCCAAGUCUAAUGAAAUAUUAGUUUUAGCCUUCUAAAUUGUUUAGACCCUAAUUAUAGAUAUUUA